AGUGAACGCUGGCGGUAUGCCUAACACAUGCAAGUCGAACGGCAGCACGGUGACAGCUCGGGCGGCGGGUGGCGGACGGGCGAGCAGUACAGCGGUACAUCCCCGUCUACUUGUGCUUACGUGACGAAGGAGGCGCACAUACGGUAAACGCUCAGAGGAUGUAAGGGGGAGACCUUCGGACCUUCGGCCCUUGCGCGGGUCGAUGUGAGAUUAGCUAGUUGGCGGGGUAAAGGCCUACCAAGCCGACGAUCCGUAGCUGGUCUGAGAGGAUGAUCAGCCACACUGGAACUGAGACACGGUCCAGACUCCUACGGGAGGCAGCAGUGGGGAAUAUUGGACAAUGGGCGCAAGCCUGAUCCAGCCAUACCGCGUGGAGGACGAAGGCCUUCGGGUUGUAAAGUGCUUUUGUUGGGAAAGAAAAGCCGCUGGCUAAUACCUGGGGGUUAUGACGGUACCGAAAGAAUAAGCACCGGCUAACUUCGUG
rnacentral:rRNA from 1 species